CUAGUAACUCGACACUGUACUUAAUUGAAUGGUGUAGCAGUUCUUCGGAAUUGUCGAUUUAUAUUUUUAGCUCCUCCAUAAUGUGGAAAGGUGUAAAAGUCUUGAAGUGUUAUGAGUGGAUCAAGUUAAGAGUGUUUAUUGGAGUUCUAGUUCAUUUACUUUGAGAAAAUUAGAGUGUUUAAAGCAGCCUCUUGGGGCUCUGAAUACAUUAGCAUGGGAUAAUAGAAUAGGAUUUGAAUAAUAUAUUUGUUGGUUUGAAUUGUUUAAAUAAUGAUUAAUAGGGACAGUUGGGGGUAUUUAUAUUGGAUGGUUAGCGGUGAAAUGCAUGGAUCCAUUCAAGAUAAACUAAAGCGAAAGCAUUUACCAAGGAUGUUUUCAUUAAUCAAGAACGAAAGUUAAGGGAUCGAAGAUGAUCAGAUACCGUCGUAGUCUUAACUAUAAACUAUGCCGACCAGGGAUAUGAGUUGUUAUGAAUGCUCUUAUGAGUAUUCGAUUUCCUCUUGUGGACCUUGUGAGAAAUCAUAAGUUUUUGGGUUCUGGGGGGAGUAUGGUCGCAAGGCUGAAACUUAAAGGAAUUGACGGAGGGGCACCACCAGGAGUGGAGCGUGCGGCUUAAUUUGACACAACACGGGAAAACUUACCAGGUCCAGACAUUAGAAGGAUUGACAGAUUGAUAGCUCUUUCAUGAUUUAAUGGGUGGUGGUGCAUGGCCGUUCUUAGUUGGUGGAGUGAUUUGUCUGGUUAAUUCCGAUAACGAACGAGACCUUUACCAUACUAAAUAGUUUUGCUUAUAUUUUUAUAUAGGUACUAUAACUUCUUAGAGGGACUAUUGGUUCUUAAACCAAAGGAAGUAAAGGCGAUAACAGGUCUGUGAUGCCCUUAGAUGUUCUGGGCUGCACGCGCGCUACAAUGAUAAGCUCAACGAGUAUUUAUUUUAUUAUAUUGCUUCACAGGAAUGUGUGGCUAAUCUUAAACGCUUAUCGUGCUUGGGAUAGAUGAUAGCAAUUAUUUAUCUUGAACCAGGAAUUCCUAGUAAUCGUAUAUCAUCAGUGUGCGAUGAUUACGUCCCUGCCCCUUGUACACACCGCCCGUCGCUGCUACCGAUUGGAUGGUCCGGUGAAAUCCCCGGAUAUCGAUGAAUACUUUGACUUCGUGUUAAAGUUCAUUGAUAGAAGUUGAUUAAACCUUAUCAUCUAGAGGAAGCAAAAGUC
rnacentral:rRNA from 1 species